rnacentral:rRNA from 1 species
CGGUUAUACCAAGUGAUUAAGUUAUAUUCUUAGGUAAAAAGACAGUUAGGUUUAAAUAGAAUAUUUUAGUUUAUUAAACGUCUAUAGAAAAGUAAAAUUUGUAUAUAGAUAGCUAAUCUAAAAAUAACUAUAUAUACACUGAAGCUGUGAUAGUCUUGAGGGAAACUGGGAUUAGAUACCCCAUUAUUCUUGAUUGUAAAUAUAAUUAAAUUUACCAGAGUACUAUGAAUAGUUAAAAAUUUAAAACUCAAAGGGCUUGGCGGUGUUUUAGACCUAUCAGGGGAACCUGUCUCGUAAUCGACAAUCCACGUAAUAUCUAACCCUAGUUUGUAAUCAGUUUGUAUACCGCUCGUCGUCAGGUAACUUUUAAACAAUAUAGAAGUUAGCAAUUAAAACUUACCUAGUUAAAACGUCAGAUCAAGGUGCAGCCUAUAGUAGGGAGAGGAUGGGUUACAGUUAUAAAAUUUGUAAUCACGGAAAUUUAAAUGGAACUUAUUUUGAAGGAGGACUUGAAAGUACACUAAAUGUACAUAUUUAGUUUGAAUAAGGCUCUG